GGCUCUUUGUGCAACCGUAAUAAAGAGUCGAACCUGCCCAAUGAAUUCAUAUGUUUUAAUGGCCGCGGUACUCUGACCGUGCAAAGGUAGCAUAAUCAUUUGUCUAUUAAUUAUAGACUGGUAUGAAUGGUUUGACGAAGGACAUUCUGUCUCUUAUAAGUUUAGUAGAAUUUAAUUUUUAAGUUAAAAAGCUUAAAUAUAAUUAGUAGACGAGAAGACCCUGGCGAGCUUUAGUUAUGUAUAGCUUUAAUUAAGCUAUAUUAGAGCUUUGGUUGGGGCGACUAAGGGACACAUAAAGCUCCCCUUUGUUUUAAAAAUAAUCAUUGAUCCGAUAAAUAUCGAUAAAAGGAAAAAGCUACCGCAGGGAUAACAGCAUAAUUCUUCUAGAGAGCUCCUAUCGAAAGCAGGGUUUGUGACCUCGAUGUUGGACUAGGAUAUCCUGGAGGGGUAGUAACUUCCAA
rnacentral:rRNA from 1 species